CACUCUGCCAGUGUAGUUGGAUCUUGGUGCACCAGCAACAAAAUAGAUGGAGCUCAUAGUUGAGAGAACAGCAACAGAAUAACCUGGGGUAGAAGCCAACAUUUAACACGUGUGAGAGACCAUUAAUUACAAUUCAUCAGUUGGUUAUCCAUAAAGGUCAGAAGAUGAGUCAGUCUGUUGGAGCCAUCAUGUGAUUCACCGUCUGUCACAACAACCAUUACUUUUGUGGCUUCUGGACGUCCUCCCGAUUCAGGAUUCUGCCUGCCACUGGGAACCUACUCAGAGGCCCUGAGCAAAUUGUCUCCUGGUGGGAAUGAAAUUCGGGAUGUUCUCCUUGCUGUUUAAGGU